CAUGUCCUUUUGAAUAUGAUUUAAGGUUUAAUCUGCUCAGUGAUUAAUUAAAUUGCCGCAGUAUUUUGACUGUGCUAAGGUAGCAUAAUAAUUAGUUUCUUGAUUAGAAGCUUGUAUGAAUGAUUGGACAAGAGAUUUACUGUCUCUUUUUGAAGUUUUGUUGAAUUUUAUUUUUAAGUAAAAAAGCUUAAAUUUUAAUAAAAGACGAGAAGACCCUAUAGAGUUUUAUAUUUAAUUUUUAUUUGGUUUUAGAAUUAAUUUUAAAUUUUAAGUAUUUGGUUGGGGUGACAUGGAGAUUUAAUAAAUUCUUUAAGUUUUUAAUUGGUGAUUACUAAAUUUUUUAUCUAUAAUUUUUAAAUUUAAAAUAAAUUACCUUAGGGAUAACAGCGUAAUUUUUUUUAAAAGUUCAUAUUAAAAAAAAAGUUUGCGACCUCGAUGUUGGAUUAAAAUUAAUUUUUGGUGCAGUAACUUAAAAAUUAGGUCUGUUCGACCUUUAAUAUU
rnacentral:rRNA from 1 species